AGUGAACGCUGGCGGUAGGCCUAACACAUGCAAGUCGGACGGCAGCACAGUAAGAGCUUGCUCUUACGGGUGGCGAGUGGCGGACGGGUGAGGAAUACAUCGGAAUCUACUUUUUCGUGGGGGAUAACGUAGGGAAACUUACGCUAAUACCACAUACGACCUACGGGUGAAAGCAGGGGAUCUUCGGACCUUGCGCGAUUGAAUGAGCCGAUGUCGGAUUAGCUAGUUGGCGGGGUAAAGGCCCACCAAGGCGACGAUCCGUAGCUGGUCUGAGAGGAUGAUCAGCCACACUGGAACUGAGACACGGUCCAGACUCCUACGGGAGGCAGCAGUGGGGAAUAUUGGACAAUGGGCGCAAGCCUGAUCCAGCCAUACCGCGUGGGUGAAGAAGGCCUUCGGGUUGUAAAGCCCUUUUGUUGGGAAAGAAAAGCAGCAGGUUAAUACCCCGCUGUUCUGACGGUACCCAAAGAAUAAGCACCGGCUAACUUCGUG
rnacentral:rRNA from 1 species